GUCCACUAUACUCCCCGUAAAUUCAGUAGCUCCGUGUUGCCCCUUCUGGCAAGUCUGGCUGUUGUUUCUAACAUUUUGUGAGUAAGCUGGGCAAAAUUGAUCCUGUUACAGAAAUAAAACAAAAAACAAGCUGACAUGUAAAAGAUUUUUAUCUUUGUGAUGCAGUGAUCACUACAUAUUUGACUGUUUGUUUGGGUAGAUAAUGGCCCACUUCAACAGUCAUUGAGAUGUGGAAAGGAUGCAGCUAAGCUAUAGAUCAGGGGUAGGCAAAAUAUUCAUUCCAAAUUUACUCUGCGAUUACAAAAAGAAAGGGAAAAAAGCUAGGGGGUAAACUGAGGUAAGGUCAGUUAAUGUUACAUUUCCCUAGCUUUAUUUCUGUUGCUACACAAUACACAUGCAUUGACUGUCCUUACAUCUUGAAAAAUUAACUAAAUUCCUUCCUUUGUUUGUUUAAAACUGAGCACAGAUAACCAGACACUAGGACAGUGUUGCAAGAACUUGGAAUUCAGGUGUUUGACCAAUAAAGUUUGUACAAUGCAAAAAAAAAAAAAAACCCAGACUUUUCUAAAAUUAGAAUAUGUGUAAAGGAGUCAUUAUCAGACUGGAGCAAUUUAAAUGGAGUUCAAGAGAAAUGGGGUUAUUUAAAAGUUGCACUGCUUGUCAGUAAAAGCAAAAAAUCCAAGAAACCACUGUGGUACUCUGCAGAUGUGGC